rnacentral:rRNA from 1 species
AACGAACGCUGGCGGCGUGGAUUAGGCAUGCAAGUCGAACGAGAAAGCGCUCUGCAGGGUAACUUGUUGAGCGCCGGUAAAGUGGCGAACGGGUGAGUAACACGUGGGAAACCUGCCUUUGAGUGGGGGAUAACAGCUCUAACGGGCUGCUAAUACCGCAUGACGCUGUUGAUCGCAUGGUUGACAGUUAAAGAUGGCCUCUACAUGUAAGCUGUCGCUUAGAGAUGGUCCCGCGUCCUAUUAGCUAGUUGGUGGGUAACGGCCUACCAAGGCAACGAUGGGUAGCCGGCCUGAGAGGGUGGUCGGCCACACUGGGACUGAGAUACGGCCCAGACUCCUACGGGAGGCUG